rnacentral:rRNA from 1 species
UACGGAGGAGGCCAGCGUUAUCCGGAAUUAUUGGGCGUAAAGCGUCCGCAGGUGACACCUCAAGUCUGCUGUCAAAGCCCGGGGCUUAACCCCAGAAAGGCAGUGGAAACUGAAGUGCUAGAGUGCAGUAGGGGUAGAGGGAAUUCCCGGUGUAGCGGUGAAAUGCGUAGAGAUCGGGAAGAACAUCGGUGGCGAAAGCGCUCUGCUGGACUGCAACUGACACUCAGGGACGAAAGCUAGGGGAGCGAAUGGG